AGCGUUGCCCCCUGUGGGCGGCGGACAGCACGUGGCAGUAGGCCGGGCAGGAGAAGAGCAGCUCCCCGACCCGGAAGCUUCUGCUCACCCGCAGGCCGCGACCUUUGUCCGGGCUGUCGAACCUCUCGAUCCCGUCCAUGGCGACUGAGGCCAUCUAGUGGCGAGAAUCAAGAAUGACAGACAGUGACUGAAUUCAAGUAAUUUGAGAAAUGGACCAGACUGGCUUCCAGUGCCUCGCGUGCUCCUCCAGUGUCCUGCAGAUACUCAUCAGGAGUGUCAGGACACAGCAAGGUGAUGAAUGGAGGCUACCAACCCCGUUAGCCUGUGCUUGUGUACAGAAUGUGUGCACCAAUGUGAAAGGAGGAGGAGAAGGCGAGGCAGGGGGAAGACAUGCGAGAGGAGGAUGAAAGAAUGAAAGGAGAGCGGCGACGGACGGACGGACGGACGGGAGGAAGGAAGAGGACGGAUGGAGCGAGCGAGGGAGGGAUAUGAAAGGAAACGAGGAAACAAUCGCCACAAAAGAGGAGCCGGGAGGGAAGAUGGGGAGCGGAAUCGGCCAGCACAGUGACAGAGCAGAUUAGCAUCAAACCAGAAAGGCCGCGGACGUGUGUGUGUGUGUGUGUGUGUCGCCCGAACAGAGGACAUAUUCAUUCCAAAGACGCCACCAAGGUGGACGGAACUUUGAUGAUGCGCAAUCUGGCAAAGGGAAACUUCGCUGCGUGUGUGUGUGUGUGUGUGUGCAGAAGCCGCCGCCGCCGCCGCUGCUGCUGCUGAAUUUGCGUGGGCUCCCGUUUCAAGUGCGGCGCAGGCGGCCAGGUAGGGGAGGAACAGCGCGAGGAGGAGGAGGAGGAGGAGGACGAGGAGAAAGGGAAGAGAGAGAGAGAGGGAAAAAAAAGGGGGCCUUGGGGGCAUCCUCAUCCACACAUGCAGUCAUCGCCAUCCAUCUCCACAUUUCCUCUGUGACUCACGCGCAAAAACACACUUAAGAGCGUAAGACGAAAGGAACAUCCUAACAAACUUGCACCGACGUAUAUGACACACACGUGAGUCCCACACACACACACACACACAAAAACCCACGCUCCAUCCAACACUUGUGGUGGUGCACGCACACACGCACACAAACAACGCCCCCGCGCACAACAAAAGGCCACACAAACAUUGCGAGUUUCUCUUCUGUGCUGUUGGAAUUUGCAUGGCUGAGCAAAUUUCUCCUCACGUUGGCCUCUAAUCAGCUCCUGUAUCUCCCAGACAGCCUGCAUAAAAGCCUUCAUAUGCAAACCCCCCACCACCCAAAAGAAGAAUUAUUCACCUGUCCUGGCAGCCUUCUUCUUGCAAAUGUUCACAUUUAUGUAUGCAAAUGCAAAAAGCCGUUCGUUCGCCCACCGCCGGCCGGUUUUCGCAUUUUCUCCGCGCUCUGGCAAUUCAGCCAACGCCUCAAGAGUGGCGCGCUCGUGCCAGCGACAUUUACGAUGAAGUCUGGUGUGUAAACACACUUUGAAACUUUGACAAAGUUGUUUAAGGCCGGAUUUGCACGGCUCGGUUGAAGCGAUGUCAUUCCGAUUGUUUGCUCUCACAACACAACAGCCAAGAGAGGGAAUAAAACAAGGAAUCGAACAUCUUCGACGUCGACUCUGAUACAAGCUGCCACUUGGAACUGGGGCCCCCGCACACUCACCCGUGGGUUCACCCAUUUGUUCUUUCUUUCCCAUUU